AUUGAACGCUGGCGGCAUGCUUUACACAUGCAAGUCGAACGGCAGCACGAAAGAGCUUGCUCUUUUGGUGGCGAGUGGCGAACGGGUGAGUAAUGCAUCGGAACGUACCGAGUAAUGGGGGAUAACUGUCCGAAAGGAUAGCUAAUACCGCAUACGCUUUGAGAAGGAAAGUGGGGGCUCUUCGGACCUCACGUUAUUCGAGCGGCCGAUGUCUGAUUAGCUAGUUGGUGGGGUAAAGGCCUACCAAGGCGACGAUCGGUAGCGGGUCUGAGAGGAUGAUCCGCCACACUGGGACUGAGACACGGCCCAGACUCCUACGGGAGGCAGCAGUGGGGAAUUUUGGACAAUGGGCGCAAGCCUGAUCCAGCCAUGCCGCGUGUCUGAAGAAGGCCUUCGGGUUGUAAAGGACUUUUGUUAGGGAAGAAAAGGAUAGUGUUAAUACUAUUAUCUGCUGACGGUACCUAAAGAAUAAGCACCGGCUAACUACGUG
rnacentral:rRNA from 1 species